rnacentral:piRNA from 1 species
UGGUAGAUUAUAUUGUAAGUAGCCACGAUA